rnacentral:tRNA from 1 species
GCGCUGAUGGUCUAAUGGCUAUGACUGGGGCCUUCCAAGCCCCAGGUCCGGGUUCGAUUCCCGGUCGGCGCA